AGUGAACGCUGGCGGUAGGCCUAACACAUGCAAGUCGAACGGCAGCACAGGAGAGCUUGCUCUCUAGGUGGCGAGUGGCGGACGGGUGAGGAAUACAUCGGAAUCUGCCCAGUCGUGGGGGAUAACGUAGGGAAACUUACGCUAAUACCGCAUACGACCUUCGGGUGAAAGAGGGGGAUCGCAAGACCUCUCGCGAUUGGAUGAGCCGAUGUCGGAUUAGCUAGUUAGCGGGGUAAUGGCCCACCAAGGCGACGAUCCGUAGCUGGUCUGAGAGGAUGAUCAGCCACACUGGAACUGAGACACGGUCCAGACUCCUACGGGAGGCAGCAGUGGGGAAUAUUGGACAAUGGGCGCAAGCCUGAUCCAGCCAUACCGCGUGGGUGAAGAAGGCCUUCGGGUUGUAAAGCCCUUUUGUUGGGAAAGAAAUCUUUCAGGCUAAUACCCUGGGAGGAUGACGGUAUCCAAAGAAUAAGCACCGGCUAACUUCGUG
rnacentral:rRNA from 1 species